rnacentral:rRNA from 1 species
CAGUCGCCGCGGUAAUACAGAGGGUGCGAGCGUUAAUCGGAUUUACUGGGCGUAAAGCGUGCGUAGGCGGCUUCUUAAGUCGGAUGUGAAAUCCCUGAGCUUAACUUAGGAAUUGCAUUCGAUACUGGGAAGCUAGAGUAUGGGAGAGGAUGGUAGAAUUCCAGGUGUAGCGGUGAAAUGCGUAGAGAUCUGGAGGAAUACCGAUGGCGAAGGCAGCCAUCUGGCCUAAUACUGACGCUGAGGUACGAAAGCAUGGGGAGCAAACAGGAUUAGAUACCCCUGUGGUCCCUGUCUCUUAUAC